GUAAGAUAGAUUUGAAAUUCAUUUUUUUUGACUAAUUUAUAUAAUUAUUCAUUAAGGGUAUAAACGAUAUUAACCACUUUAAUUUUUAACGUGAGAGUUCGGAUCCAAAAAUUUACUUUGCAAAUAAUAGCAUACAUAGAUAUCUUGCAAGAUGAAAUUUGAACGUGAAUUUCAUAAAAAGGAAUAUAGAGAGGGUUAAGAAUAUGGAUUAUGCUUUUUGACCCAAAUUGGUUUGUUGACAAACUUUUUUGACCCAAAUUGGUUUGUUAACAAUUGGGUUUUUGUCUAUAAAUUAAAUUGGUCAAGUCCAAGAAAACAUGUUUUUCUCGUUGACAUAGGAAAUAUUUUUUUUAAGCAAAUACAGAGGAAAUAUUAAAUUAAAAAAAUUCCAGAGAGAUCUCAUUGAGAUAAACGAAGAAAAAAAUGAAAGGGAUUAGGGUUCCAUCUCCGAAAUUAGAUUCAAUCAGUUGACGCAAAAAAGAUUUGAUCACUCUUGGAAUCGUUAAAGCCUAAAAUUUUGACAAUUAUCCGAAGUGACGAAUCCAGGUCAGUAAUCUUCUUUUUCUUUCUGAUGUUUGGUUAUCAGUUUUAGCGACCAGAAAAAGUGCAUGUAUUGAGCUCUAUCAGAAUUAUCCACAAUCGGUGAACAUAAUGGUUAGAUCAUUACGCCAUAAAGCCACUGUUUCCAUAUAUUCUGUCUCUGGGGCCGAUUGAAUAAUAUGAGUAAAGAAAUCGAAAAACAUAUUCAGGUUAGACCACAUAUUUUGAAAAAUCAAUCAUCCCAUUGAUGAUCGUAUAAAACUUUUGGAGUUGGAGUAUGUAAUGGUGGAGAUUAGCACGCGUUAUAGGGGUCAUUAUAUAGUAUUACCACUACACGUUCUAAUUAAUGUGAAAAAAUUCGUAAAGGAAUGUAUAUAUUGAAUAUUAACUUCUGCCACGAUCGAAGGGAAAAUUGUGUAGCUUACCUCUUGAAAUCUAUAUUAUAAUACAUCAGUUUUUGCUCACUCCUCAGCGCGCCACGUCAUCGUUUUGUGGGCCCCACUUUUAAAAAGUAUAAAAAAGUGUCAAGCCUAUGGCUCGAACCCGGGUUAUUGAGAUAUAAACACCAACAUUUAUACCACUAAGCUAACUGAUACCUUUGUACAUUGAUGGCCGAACCUAAUAUAUAUUUAUGAAGGUCGGAAGCCAUUGCUUCUUCGGCUUCGUCUGAGGGUCGGACCUACAAGUGUGUUAUUGGUUUCAUUUUUAAAUAGGAUUCAUCACGUUAUAUGAAAAAAACUUAAGUUUGCAACAAUUAUGGUUUUCCUAUAUUGUAAACUGUUGUAGUUUAAUAUGGGUUCUUUUCAUCAUUGUCUCAAACAAGUCUGAGUUACAGAGUUGCGCCGUGUGUAUGUUCGUAAUCUAUUUUUUCACCGGUGAACUCUUCAUGUCUCCAUCUUAAAUCGCUUGAUCAUAAAUGUUCCUGAUUUGUAGCCCCUCUGUAAACCAUAUAUAUAUGAUUCUCAUCUUUGAUGAACUCAAUCUGCAUCUCCACAAAACUCAUUGAUUCCUCUUAGCUUUAACCAUCUUUUAGAAAAUGUUUCCCUCUGCCUCUCUAGUUCGUCAAACCGGCGUCCCGGCGUCCGUCACUCAACCUUCGAGUCUCUCCGUCUUGGUCUUAGUAGUCAGAGCAUAGCCUCUGGCUUCCUCCGCUUCUGGGAUUCCCUAAACUUCAAGAGAGACAGGGAGUUUGUGGGAAUCACGGUUCUUUUCCUCGAUGAAAAGGUAAGUUAAUCUUCGAUUUAUCACACUUAUUUAACAUAAUUGUUUUAAUUUAUUUCCUGAUUCUUUGUUGGAUAAUACUAUUUGCAGAUUCCGUGAUUCAUGGGUUUACUCCCGUCGGACAUGCUAAUCAUUACAUGCCAUCUUUGAAAGCAGAUUCCAUUGUGAAAGUCGAUCGUUUUGAGGUUGCUAGGUGCUCCAAGUGAUUGCGAACACAAACCUAGAAAUUGGUAAACAUAGCAUAUUUGGCAGCUCCAAGCAAGAUUACAAUCAGGCAAAUUCAAGUGGAAUGACAUACCAACAACUGAAACUGCCUCUGUCAUGGAUAGCUCUCUCCCAAGAAUUGCAUUGACUAUGGUUUCUGGGAAGAAAAAGAUCUUGCUCCUGAAAAAAAACCGUAACAACCCUGUUAACUCUCCAUUCCAAGCGGAAUAGCAGAUGAAAGCUAAUUUUUCUGGAAGCUCAUCGACUUCAAGACAGAAUCAGAAGAUAGAUGUUGGUGGGAGGUUAAUCAAGGGAAUACUUCAGAAAAGUGAGACGGCCUAGCCAGACUUCAUCUUUUGUACAGUCUGAGCAAAGAGUGGAACCCACAAAACACGAGAGAAGAAAAAACAAAACACGAAAUUAACAUAUUCAGAUCUUCUCUCUUGCAUGUCUAACAUCUGGCGCCGACAAAACUCAACACCCACGGCAGACGAAGCUGAUGCAAGUUAUACAAUGUUGUAAACAUUCGUUUCACUGGCGGAGGAGUCCAACGACGUCGUGGGAGAAGUUUCAUACGAACACGAUCAAUUAAAAUACAUUCCGAGUAAAAUAUUAGUGGUACUAAUGGCAUUAGUGUAUAAUUACUCUAGUUAACAAAGGCUAGUUAUAUAAGUAGGUUGAGAAGGAAUGUGGAAGUUACACGUAAGCAUGACAGGCUUGAAAUAAAAGUACCAAAUCAAGAUUACUCUUAAAAAUUGCUUCUCUUUUAAUAAAAAAGGAUAUAUAUAAAACAACAUUCAUUCUCAAUUGUUUGCUAAAGAACUUGUUCAUUACAUCGAGCACUAUUUAUACUCCGACACAAAGAUAAGGUAAAACUAGAGUUGAGGACAGUUAAGUCAUUUCUUAAUUUGAUGCUAAGAUUUCAGAAAGAUUUUGGAUCAUUGGUGGUCGUUGUUCUAAAAAUUGGCCACCUAACCGAUUCAGUGGCACCGUGGCGAGUCGAAGUGAUUCGUUGUGUUGUACGACAAUAAGUAAAAACUUAAGUUUUGUUGGGUUUUGUGAAAAAAAAUCAAGUAUUUCUUUGUUGAUUUGUUAAGAAUGGUGAAAAGAACGAGUAAAAUUGUCAAAGAAUCGUGAAAUGAUACGAAAGGGCGUGAAAUCUAGGGUUUUAGAACGAUAAUGGCUGCAUAAGAAAAUGGAGACAAUUUUGUAAUUUUGGGAUUAUUAAUGAAAAUCACAAAAAUGAACAAAAUCAGAGAUGUUGAACCCGCAACAUGUGACAUGUUUUCAAAGAAAUAAUGGAUGCCGAAGAAGAUGAGAUAAUUUUGUAAUUUUGAGAUUGUUAAUGAGAAAUCGCGAAAAUGAACAAAAAUACAAAAUCAAACAAACUAGUACAUUUGAACCCAAAAUGUGACAUGUUUUCAAAGAGAUUAAACCACUAGA